GGUCAUUCUGGCUGCUCUGUUGCCAAUAGACUGGAGUAGGGCAGGGGUGGGGGUGGGGGUGCAGUAGGAAGACCAAGUAGGAGGCAAUUGCAAUGAUCCAAACCGAGAGAUUGUGGUGGUUUGGACCAAGAGGGUAGCAACGGAGGUAGUGAGAAGUGGAUCAACUCGGAAAAUGGUUUGAAGGUCCAACCCAGUCUCCUGUUAUGUGUGGAGUGGCACUCAGUGAAUGUCAGUGGGAGAGGCUGGGCUGCUUGUCCAAACAAGCCCGGGAGGAAGGCAGGACCAGAAGGGGGGGGGUCAUCAAUGGGUAAGUCUGCCGCGGGAGAUAAUGACAACAGGGAAGUCUGGACGUAAACAGCUUGUGUGGUUAUGAAGGAAUUGUGGACCUAACAGAAAUGAACCACAGGGAGAGAGAGUCAUAGAGAACAGGCUCAUUGGGAAGCACAAUGAAGCAGUCAGAUAUACGUGAGAAAAGGGAUGAUAGCUGGGUGGGGAUUUCAGGAAGAAGAACUAGAAAAAUGUGCCCAGGACAGGUAACACGAAAGCGACUUACAGGUGAGAGAGCAGAGGGUGGAGGCUGAUGAUUUGUCUCAGUGUGGAUUAAACUUUUUCUACGAAGUUCUUGCUUCAUAACCAACAGCAUUCCUGACGUUGGCUGGUAGUUCUGUCAUAUACUUCCACCUAUCACAAGGAAAACCAGAGCAUAAGCAGAUUAGUCCUGAGCUAACAUCUGCUGCCAAUCCUCCACUUUUUGCUGCUGGGGAAGACUGGCCCUGAGCUAACAUCUGUGCCCAUCUUCCUCUAUUUUAUAUGUGGGACGGCUGCCACAGCAUGGCUUGACAAGCGGUGUGUAGGUCCACACCCGGGAUCUGGACCAGCGAACCCUGGGCCACUGAAGCAGAACGUGCAAACUUAACUGCUUAGCCACUGGGCCGGCCCCUCCGACUCCAUUUUUUGAUGUUUGACUGCUGACUGCUUUGAAGCCUCAUGGUGCCCUCUUUCCUUUCUGCCCGACAUCUUGGCAAGCUGAUAAGAAAGCCUGGGUGCUCCCUCCUUUGGCACGGGUGGGAAGUCCAAACUGUGCAAGCCCCUGCCACAUGUGUGGGAACCCUUGCCCCAGCCCCACCUCCUAACCACCACAAUACCCUCAAGCCAGUAUCCUUUCUCUCCUCUCUCCAGCCAUUUUUAGACCAGUGUGUGAGUCCGCCCUGCUCCCCGCAGAAAGACUUGUGAUGGAAAUGUCUUUUGUUUCUUCUUCUUGCCUCAGUGCAUGAGCGAGGGCCUCUAGUACACUACCGAAUACAAAUGAAUUCACUAAUGAAGCUAUCCGGGGCUGUACUGUUCUUUCCAGGAAAGUUUAAGAUUACAGGACAAGGGACUAAAAGAAGUGUCUAUUUCAGGAGCCUCUCAGCUGCGGUUUGUCUUCACUUACUAAGGGACACAACAACCUUUCCAGGCUACCCAUGGGGUACCUCAACAGCUUUGCCAUCUCACACAAUCUUUGCAGACAAGAUGCUAAUUACACCCACCUUUCUCCAGGAGCACAG
ensembl:lncRNA